rnacentral:rRNA from 1 species
GACGAACGCUGGCGGCGUGCUUAACACAUGCAAGUCGAACGGUAAGGCCCUUCGGGGUACACGAGUGGCGAACGGGUGAGUAACACGUGGGUGAUCUGCCCUGCACUUCGGGAUAAGCCUGGGAAACUGGGUCUAAUACCGGAUAGGACUCCUGGCUUCAUGGUUGGGGGUGGAAAGCUUUUGCGGUGGGGGAUGGGCCCGCGGCCUAUCAGCUUGUUUGUGGGGUAAUGGCCUACCAAGGCGACGACGGGUAGCCGGCCUGAGAGGGUGACCGGUCACACUGGGACUGAGAUACGGCCCAGACUCCUACGGGAGGCAGCAGUGGGGAAUAUUGCACAAUGGGCGCAAGCCUGAUGCAGCGACGCCGCGUGAGGGAUGACGGCCUUCGGGUUGUAAACCUCUUUCAGCUAUGACGAAGCGCAAGUGACGGUAGUAGCAGAAGAAGGACCGGCCAACUACGUGCCAGCAGCCGCGGUAA